UACGGGGGGAGCAAGCGUUGUUCGGAUUUACUGGGCGUAAAGGGCGCGUAGGCGGUCAGCACAAGUCAGUUGUGAAAUCUCCGGGCUUAACUCGGAAAGGUCAACUGAUACUGUGCGACUAGAGUGCGGAAGGGGCAACUGGAAUUCUUGGUGUAGCGGUGAAAUGCGUAGAUAUCAAGAGGAACACCUGCGGCGAAGGCGGGUUGCUGGGCCGACACUGACGCUGAGGCGCGAAAGCCAGGGGAGCAAACGGG
rnacentral:rRNA from 1 species